rnacentral:lncRNA from 1 species
GGAGAAGUACGUCCGCACCCCGUACCUAGAUAAACAAUUCAUCCAUUGACCAAUCAUCAUGCUUACAUGAGUGGGGCCGUUGUUCCUGUUCCUACCUCAUAGUAACUAAUUUUUUUUUCCUUGAUGGUUAAUGGAUUAUGGUUCCUUGGUUUUGGAGUUGAGAUGCAUUCCGAGCGCCUCAAGUCACCGACAAAUGAGAUAUUCUAAUUCUAUUCAUCAUACCGAGUAUCUUACUAUCUACCACGUCCAAUGUCGCAAGAUCGUCCGAAGGACAUUGAUGUGCGUACACGAUUCCAUUUAGAGAGACCCACCAUGUAACUAGCUAUCACGCCCGCCGUCCCUGGUCAUUAAGGAUCAAAUACCGAGCAUCCGCAGUCAAACAGAAUUUCACUUUUUGACACGUUCACGACAACCCCAUAACAAGACCAUUUAAGUUAGGCCGACUUAAACGGCAACAUGCAAAUAAGCUAAGUUAAUUAUCGAAUGUGAAAAUUCUAAUAUACGUACUACUACAGAGUACAGUAGUAUUUCCCUCCCGUCCAAGAAUGGUAAUCUUCCUAGCUUAUGUUUCCGUAAACUAGUCCAGGUACGUACUAACGGUAACGUCUAACGCUGCUCGAAAUAGAAGCGGAAUAUUUCUAUAGUACAUACCACCAUUCAGUGGCCAAAGUGUCUAUAUUAGACUUUUUGAUAGUUCACUAGUGUUGA